GACGAACGCUGGCGGCGUGCUUAACACAUGCAAGUCGAACGAUGAACCCGGAGCUUGCUCUGGGGAAUUAGUGGCGAACGGGUGAGUAACACGUGAGUAACCUGCCCUGGACUCUGGGAUAAGCGUUGGAAACGACGUCUAGUACCGGAUAGGACCUUGGAUCGCAUGAUCUGGGGUGGAAAGUUUUUUCGGUCUGGGAUGGACUCGCGGCCUAUCAGCUUGUUGGUGAGGUAAUGGCUCACCAAGGCGUCGACGGGUAGCCGGCCUGAGAGGGUGACCGGCCACACUGGGACUGAGACACGGCCCAGACUCCUACGGGAGGCAGCAGUGGGGAAUAUUGCACAAUGGGCGAAAGCCUGAUGCAGCAACGCCGCGUGCGGGAUGACGGCCUUCGGGUUGUAAACCGCUUUUAGUAGGGAAGAAGGGCUUCGGCUUGACGGUACCUGCAGAAAAAGGACCGGCUAACUACGUG
rnacentral:rRNA from 1 species